rnacentral:rRNA from 1 species
UACGUAGGGUGCGAGCGUUAAUCGGAAUUACUGGGCGUAAAGCGUGCGCAGGCGGUUUUGUAAGCCAGAUGUGAAAUCCCCCGGGCUCAACCUGGGAACUGCAUUUGGGACUGCAAGGCUAGAGUACGGCAGAGGGGGGUAGAAUUCCUGGUGUAGCAGUGAAAUGCGUAGAUAUCAGGAGGAAUACCGAUGGCGAAGGCAGCCCCCUGGGUCGAUACUGACGCUCAUGCACGAAAGCGUGGGGAGCAAACAGG